rnacentral:rRNA from 1 species
GACGAACGCUGGCGGCGUGCUUAACACAUGCAAGUCGAACGGAAAGGCCCUGCUUUUGUGGGGUGCUCGAGUGGCGAACGGGUGAGUAACACGUGAGUAACCUGCCCUUGACUUUGGGAUAACUUCAGGAAACUGGGGCUAAUACCGGAUAGGAGCUCCUGCUGCAUGGUGGGGGUUGGAAAGUUUCGGCGGUUGGGGAUGGACUCGCGGCUUAUCAGCUUGUUGGUGGGGUAGUGGCUUACCAAGGCUUUGACGGGUAGCCGGCCUGAGAGGGUGACCGGCCACAUUGGGACUGAGAUACGGCCCAGACUCCUACGGGAGGCAGCAGUGGGGAAUAUUGCACAAUGGGCGGAAGCCUGAUGCAGCAACGCCGCGUGCGGGAUGACGGCCUUCGGGUUGUAAACCGCUUUCGCCUGUGACGAAGCGUGAGUGACGGUAAUGGGUAAAGAAGCACCGGCUAACUACGUGCCAGCAGCCGCGGUGAUACGUAGGGUGCGAGCGUUGUCCGGAUUUAUUGGGCGUAAAGGGCUCGUAGGUGGUUGAUCGCGUCGGAAGUGUAAUCUUGGGGCUUAACCCUGAGCGUGCUUUCGAUACGGGUUGACUUGAGGAAGGUAGGGGAGAAUGGAAUUCCUGGUGGAGCGGUGGAAUGCGCAGAUACCAGGAGGAACACCAGUGGCGAAGGCGGUUCUCUGGGCCUUUCCUGACGCUGAGGAGCGAAAGCGUGGGGAGCGAACAGGCUUAGAUACCCUGGUAGUCCACGCUGUAAACGGUGGGUACUAGGUGUGGGGUCCAUUCCACGGGUUCCGUGCCGUAGCUAACGCUUUAAGUACCCCGCCUGGGGAGUACGGCCGCAAGGCUAAAACUCAAAGGAAUUGACGGGGCCCCGCACAAGCGGCGGAGCAUGCGGAUUAAUUCGAUGCAACGCGUAGAACCUUACCUGGGUUUGACAUGGAUCGGGAGUGCUCAGAGAUGGGUGUGCCUCUUUUGGGGUCGGUUCACAGGUGGUGCAUGGCUGUCGUCAGCUCGUGUCGUGAGAUGUUGGGUUAAGUCCCGCAACGAGCGCAACCCUUGUUCACUGUUGCCAGCACGUUAUGGUGGGGACUCAGUGGAGACCGCCGGGGUCAACUCGGAGGAAGGUGGGGAUGACGUCAAGUCAUCAUGCCCCUUAUGUCCAGGGCUUCACGCAUGCUACAAUGGCUGGUACAGAGAGUGGCGAGCCUGUGAGGGUGAGCGAAUCUCGGAAAGCCGGUCUCAGUUCGGAUUGGGGUCUGCAACUCGACCUCAUGAAGUCGGAGUCGCUAGUAAUCGCAGAUCAGCAACGCUGCGGUGAAUACGUUCCCGGGGCUUGUACACACCGCCCGUCAAGUCAUGAAAGUUGGUAACACCCGAAGCCGGUGGCCUAACCGUUGUGGGGGAGCCGUCGAAGGUGGGACUGGUGAUUAGGACU